GACAGAGGGGGCAAGCGUUGCUCGGAAUCACUGGGCGUAAAGGGCGCGUAGGCGGGAUGGUAAGUCGGACGUGAAAUCCUUCGGCUCAACCGAAGAACGUCGGCCGAUACUGCCGUUCUUGAGGGAUGCAGAGGAGAUUGGAAUUCCCGGUGUAGCGGUGAAAUGUGUAGAGAUCGGGAGGAACACCGGUGGCGAAGGCGGGUCUCUGGGCAUCUCCUGACGCUGAGGCGCGAAAGCGUGGGGAGCAAACGGG
rnacentral:rRNA from 1 species